UGAGUGCAAUUUACUCUGCAUCAACAGUUAAGAGUUCAUUGUUUGGCUUUCGAUACUCUCUUUCUAUUUGAUUUCGUUGUUGUCUUCCUGAAAAGCUUUACUCUUCACUGCCGGCGAAUGAUUAUGCAGUGCAUUUUUCAUCUCUAAGAGACGGAACAAUAUCUCAAAGGUUUUUCUUUCUUCAUUUCCUCCUUCAAUUAAUCAUAUAUUAUUACUCUUAUCUUUUUGUCAUUGCUUCUUAUCACAACCCCCCUCCAAAAAAAAAAAAAAACUCUAUAAUUUUACUUUCUUCCUUCAAUUUUAUUCUGUGUUCAAGUGUUACUUACCAGAAAAAAAAAGAGAAAGAAACUCUGUAUUCCUUUUUGAUUUUAGAGAGCUUUGUUAUCUCCUCCACUUCAACUCUAUUAGAACUCUUGUUGAACAAUUAUCAGAAUAAUAUUCUGUUGUGUGUUCUGUUUUCAUUUUACAAAGCUCCCUUUCUUGGUUUCUAUUUCUGUCAUAGUACAAAAGCUCCCCUUCUAGUCCCAUUAUAUUACAAUAUAAUUCUCUAUAUUCAACCCUGCUUGUCAAAAAAAAAAAAAAAAAAAAUUGUAUUCCCUUUAGAUUUUGUCAUCUAAGUGUUUCUUUCCUGUCUUCAUAUCCUUUGCAAAAUAGAAGUACUCUCUUGUUCUAUUUCGAUUUGCAAAGCUCAGAUUCCUCAUUUCCAUUUCGAUUGUUGUAGAAAUUCCUUUUCGUUGUGUUCUAGUCUUUUACAUUUUAAGUUUUCACUAUCCUCAGAAGAAAAACGUGAGAGAAAUGGUCGUGAACGUUGUUCUUCCUAUAGUAAUGAAGAUUGGAGAAUGUCUGGUUGCCCCAGUUGGCCGCCAGUUUGGUUAUUUGAUUUUCUAUUACAGAAACAUCGAAAAUCUCAGAAAGCAAGUCCAAAAGCUUCAAGAUAAAAGAUCUGAUAUACAAGGAGAAGUUGAUGCAGCAAAAAGUAGAAGCGAUAGUAUUAAAACUACCGUUUCACGGUGGUUGACACAGGUGGAUGAACUCAGUAAUGAUGCCAACAAAUUCUUUGAGGAUGAAGUCAUACCGAACAAAGGGUGUCUGAAUGGGUGGUGUCCAAAUCUGAAGUCACGCUACUCAUUGAGUAGGAAAGCUACAAAGAAAACUCAAGGCUUGGAAGAGCUAUGUGGGGAAGGAAAUUUCUCUGGGGUUUCAAUCCCUGCAGUUGCAUCUCAUGUGGGGACAACAUUCAUAUCCAUGGGAGGAUUUAAGGGGUUUGAAUCUAGAAGGUCAAUUAUGAAGGAAGUUAUGGAGGCACUGACAGAUGAUAGUAUCUAUGUGAUUGGGAUAUGUGGGAUGGGAGGGGUUGGUAAGACAACUAUGGUGAAAGAAGUUGCCAAGAAAGCAGAAGAAAAGAAAAUGUUUGAUAUUAUUGUGAUGGUAGUAGUGUCCCAAAACCCAAACUUGAUUAAUAUUCAAAGUGAGAUUGCCAAAAUAUUGGAUUUAAAAAAUUUUGAGGGAAACAAUUUACCUACUGGAGCGGGGGAGAUACGAUCAAAAAUAUUGAAAAGUGGGAGAGUCCUUGUAAUACUGGAUGAUGUUUGGGACAUACUAGAGCUGAAUGAGAUUGGAAUUCCAUUUGGAGAUGAUUGCAAAAGUUACAAAAUUGUGUUGACUUCAAGAAGUGAAGAUGUAUGCAACGGCAUGAACACACAAAAGAAUUUUAUGGUUCGUGUCUUACCUGAAGAAGAAGCAUGGAAUCUUUUCAAGGAGAAGGAAGCAAUUCCCUACAACGAUACAAGUCAUACGAUUGAUUUCAAGUCGACACAGAUGUCAGUUGCGAAGGAAUGUGGAGGUCUGCCCAUUGCUAUUGUUACAGUUGGGAGGGCACUCAAAGGUAAAGGCAGGCCUUCAUGGGAUUCUGCUCUUGAACAAUUACGGAAGUCUAUAGUGCAUAACAUCAAGGGAGUGUAUGACAAAGUGAUUAAAUCUUUGGAGUUGAGUUACAAUUUCUUAGAAAGUGAGGAAGCCAAGAAAUGCUUUUUGCUAUGUUCUUUAUAUCCAGAAGAUUUUGUUAUUCCAAUUGAAGAUCUCGUUAGAUAUGCAAUUGGGAUAGAGUUGUUUGAGCGCAUUGAUAGUGUGCACCAAGUAAGAAAUAGAGUAUAUUCCGUAGUUGAUGACUUGAAAAAAUGUUAUCUAUUGAUGGAAAGUGAAAAAGUAGAUUGUAUCAAAAUGCAUGAUGUCGUACGUGAUGUGGCUAUAUCAAUUGCAUCUAGGGAGGAGCAUUCAAUUGUCGUGAGAUGUGAUGAAGUACUGAAAGAAUGGCCUAAAAAAGACCGACUCGAAAAAAAUGCUAUAAUUUCAUUAAAAGUUGAUGGUAUGCAUGGGCUUCCUGGUAAUUUAGAAUUUCCAAAUCUCCAUCUUCUAAAGCUAGAUUGCAAUGCUGGAUUACCACCACUCUCAUUCCUUUAUCUCAACGUAGGAAUGGAGGAAGUCAAAGUACAAGAGACCCAAGAUAGUUUUUACCAAGGAAUGAAAGAACUUAAAGUGCUAGCUUUAUCCGAUAUGUAUGGCUCAUUGACGGCAUCACUUCGAUGCUUGACCAACCUCCGAACCUUGUCACUUUUUCGUUGCCGACUUAUUGAUGAUGGUAUCUCUGUUAUCAGAGUAUUAGAGAAUCUGGAAAUUUUGAGGUUUGGCUUCUCUUAUAUCAAGGAAUUGCCAAAAGAAAUAGUAGGUCACCUUGGUCACUUGAAGGUACUUGAUUUGUUGGGAUGUGUAGUGGAAAGGAUUUACCCAGGGGUUUUGUCAAGCUUAUCAAAGCUAGAAGAGUUGUAUGUUGGGUCUAUCUUUCAAAGUUGGUGUCAAGAUGAAAAAAGAAAAGAAGGUGCUAAAGCAAUUAUCGAUGAGCUGACGUCCUUGUCCAAUUUGGUGGCUUUGGAUAUUGCUCUAAUAAACAUUUCCUUCUGGCCGAGAGGUUUGGCCAUUGAGAAAUUAAAAAAGUUCAAUAUACGUGUUGCCAUUCAAUCUCCCUAUUACACCCCUCUUUGUUAUCCUUCGUUAUCAAAUCAGUUGGAGCUUGGAGUCGAAAACAUAAGUGACAUUAUUGAAACGAGGUCUAAUUUUCUGUUGAAGAGCACUAAAAUUCUGACUUUAAGCUCAAGUGUAAAAGGUUUGAAAAUUCUCUGUGAUUUGGUUGGCGAAGAUGGUUUUGAAUGCUUAACGAAUUUGUUACUACGUGGCUUGGAUGAUUUGGAAUACCUCAUCAAUACAGCAGAUGGGGUUCCACAGAGUGCUUUCCCUGUGUUAGAGUUUCUGUAUCUUCGUGGUCUACAAAAUUUCAAAGGCAUUACUGGUCACGAAUGCCGACAGCCGAACAAGACUUUCAGUGCAUUAAAAGUGUUGAGAAUGGAAUCCUUGUAUGGACUGACAAAUUUGUGGAAGGGUCCCACCCAACUUGUAUGGCUCGGCAACCUGACGUCUGUAGCAGUGAGUUGUUGUCGUAAACUGGAAAGUAUGUUCUCACUUUCCAUAGCUAGAGAUCUAGUGCAACUGAAAGACCUUUCCGUAGUUUUCUGUGAGAUGAUGGAAGAAAUUGUUUCGAGUGAAGGAGGAGAGCAUGAAAUAGCAGCAAUAGCAACAGAUAAAAUCGAGUUUCCUAAACUAAAGGAAUUGCGUCUUGAAAGCCUGCCAAGUUUUACUGGUAUCUGCAAAGCUAUGAAUGCAAUUGAGCUGCCACAACUGAGUUCCUUGACACUGUCGAAUAUGCCAACGCUGAAGCGUCUCUGUCCUGCUUCAGAUUCAGAAAGUAAUUGUGAUCCCAUCAUUCAACCCCUCUUCAACGACAAGGAUAAAUUGGCUACCAUUGAAGAAUUGACCAUCUUUGACAUGGAGAAUCUGAUAGAAAUUUGGCCUGGGGAACUUGAAGCUAAACUAAGAAUGAUGGAGGUCAAAUUGAGUAAUGGGCUCUCAAGUAUUCUUUUCCCAUCCAAUUCAAUUAAGGGCAUGCAAAAUCUUGAAGUACUUGAAGUGGAGGACUGUCGAUCUAUCGGAGUAGCCUUUGACCUUGAAGGACUUGUUUGGGAAGGCAUAUUAGAUAUGGCACUCCCUUCAUUAACAAAGGUGAAACUAAGUUGUUUGUCAAAGUUGACACAUGUUUGGAAGGACAAUUCACCAGGAAUUCAAGGCUUUCAGAAUCUAAGAUCCUUAAUAGUAAAUGAGUGCGAUAGUUUGAGAAAUCUAUUCUCAUACUCUCUAGCCAAACUUCUAGUAAAACUACAAGAAAUAGAGGUAACUGAAUGUGGUAUGAUGGAAUCAAUCAUUAGAAAUGAACCAAAUGCAGAUGAUGCAGUGAUAACAAAUAUGAUCAUGUUCCCUCAACUGAGUAGUCUCAAACUCAGUGAUUUGCCAAACCUUAGUAGUUUUUGCUCUGAGGCUUGUACGUUUGAGGGAUCGUUGUUGAAAACAAUAGAAGUAAUCAACUGUCCCAAAAUGGAGAUACUCCCAUCAGCAUUCCAGCACAAGCUAGAGCAACAAAAGGCAGACUUUUCAACUUUGUCUCAACUCCAUCUCUUGGAUGGAAAGUUUAUUUUCAGAGAUCAUUUUUCCGGCCACUUUGGAAAACUUACCGUCACAGACAUAAACGGAUCAAUAGAGAUGUGGCACAACCAACUUGAAGUUGACCGCCUUGACCAAGUGAGAUUCAUGUUGGUCCAAUUUUGCGGGAAAUUAUCAAAUGUGAUCUCGUCGAAUUUAAUGCAAAGACUACCAUAUCUACAACGGCUGAAGGUAUGGUGGUGUGAUUCACUGGAAACAAUAUUUGACCUCCAAGGGUCGGCACGCGCUGAUACUACUGGUGAGGAAGGAACAUCAAUCCUUUGCUUCAGAGAGUUCCUUUGCUUCAGAGAGUUGAAAUUGAUGUACUUGCCCAAGUUGACGCAUAUAUGGAAGAAUGUUUCCCAACAAACUCAUUGUUUCGAAAAUCUAGGAUCCCUAGAAGUGGAGAGGUGUGACAACCUGAGAUAUAUAUUCACAAUUUCCAUGGUCAAGGUCCUUGUGUGUCUAAAUUAUCUAAGAAUUGGAAAUUGCAAGAAAGUAGAAAAGAUUGUUACCAGAGAAGAAGAAGAAGAUGACGAUGACGACGAUGACGACAACUUAAGCGUGGUACUUGAAAAUCUUCCGAGUGUCGUGUGUAUUGGAAUUCCAGAAUCCCAAAUGCGUAUCUCCAAAUUGCAUGUAGAUUUCUGCCCCAAAUAUCGAGGUUAUGAUGUGGAAGGGGAGUAAUAUUUACCAUUUGUUGCGGUGCAUCGCCAAUCUCUUCCUAGAAAAGGUAUGUUGUUCUUGAUAAAUAGGACGUGGAAGGAUCCACUCAAUUUCUAUGAAGAUCAAGAAGCUGGAGAAGUAGAUAGCAACCCUAUUUAUGCAGAAACCGGCUACAACUUUACAAGGUUAAAUUGACUACCAUUGAAAUUUUGUACAUCUCUCAAACGGAGAAUCUGAUGGAGAUUCGGCGUGGGGAACUUCAAACUAAACUAAGAGAGAUGGAAAGUUCAUAGGUGUUAAGGGCAUGCAAAAUCUUGAACUACUUGAUGUACAGUGGUGUCAAUCUAUUGGCGUGGUAUUUGACCAUAACUAGUCUUUAGUGUUAUCAAUUCCAAAAUUUGAUUUCAGGUGAUUUGCUAGAUAUGCUUUUCUUGAUAAAGAAGUCGAAGAAAUAAAUGGCGGUCCAAUUUAUGCAGAAAGCAAGGUUACAGGGUGUCCUUAUAUGUAUUAUCUAUGGAAAACUAUUUCAUUAUUAUGACAAUGUUUUAUCUAUUGUCCAAACUCGAAUAAGCUGAUAGCUCCCACAGUUUGUCCUGUAGGCUGCAGUGGUAUUGCUCAAUUUAUGUAAGUACUAUGUCGUCUCGUUUGCCUGAUUUAUUUUAUACAUGUAAUGUGUUUUUUUGUUGGCUGGGUCGGUGGUCCUAGCAUAGCCUUCUGUCUUGAAUAUACAACUGGUCUGCCUUGUCUAUGAGCCAUGUAAUAAAUAUAGAAACUGUACUUGUGCAAUUGCUCCGAUGUCAUCAUGAGUGAUUGUCAAUAUUCUCAAGUA